UACAGAGGUCUCAAGCGUUGUUCGGAUUCAUUGGGCGUAAAGGGUGCGUAGGUGGCGCCGUAAGUCGGGUGUGAAAUUUCGGAGCUUAACUCCGAAACUGCAUUCGAUACUGCCGUGCUGGAGGUUUGGAGGGGGACUGGAAUUCUUGGUGUAGCAGUGAAAUGCGUAGAUAUCAAGAGGAACACCAGUGGCGAAGGCGAGUCCCUGGACAACACCUGACACUGAGGCACGAAAGCUAGGGGAGCAACCAGG
rnacentral:rRNA from 1 species